CCUACGGGAGACAGCAGUGAGGAAUAUUGGUCAAUGGACGCGAGUCUGAACCAGCCAUGCAGCGUGCAGGAUGACGGCUCUAUGGGUUGUAAACUUCUUUUGUACGGGGAUAAACUGAGGUACGCGUGUCUUUCUGUAUGUAUCUUACGAAUAAGGAUCGGCUAACUCCGUGCCAGCAGCCGCGGUAAUACGGAGGAUCCGAGCGUUAUCCGGAUUUAUUGGGUUUAAAGGGUGCGUAGGCGGUAGGAUAAGUUAGAUGUGAAAGCCCGAGGCUCAACCUUGGAAUUGCCUCUGAUACUGUCAGGCUAGAGAGCAGUUGCGGUAGGCGGAAUGCAUGGUGUAGCGGUGAAAUGCUUAGAGAUCAUACAGAACACCGAUUGCGAAGGCAGCCUACUAAGCUACUUCUGACGUUGAGGCACGAAAGUGUGGGGAGCAAACAGGAUUAGAUACCCCUGUAGUC
rnacentral:rRNA from 1 species